CUUGCUGGAAUGUGUCCUAAAAACUGCAAAGUCUGAAGGGGGGAACCACAGGCAGAAAGUGAAAUAACGCAGAAUACCAGCAAAAAUCUUUACCCACACAGGAAUAAUUCUCGCUCAGAUGGCCUGAUCAGUCUGAUCCAGCAAAGGGUCAUUUUGAGUUGGGGUCAACUCAACAGAAGCUAACAACAACAACAUGAGGAGAGAUGCUUGAGAAAUUUUCUACGUCUGUCAAAAUAAUGGUUGGCUUUGAGUACCUUGACUUGAGGAAUCAAGUCAUUCAGAGGUUCAGCAGUAGAAGUUUCUUAACAAUCUCCUUGGUGUCUUAGCCCCACAUGAGGCUCCCUCAACAAGUUGUUGUUCAGAAAUGAAGAUGCAGGAUCAUGAAGGAGGGAUGUUUGCCCCAGCAAGGUGUCCUGUUUCCACACUGCACCAGCAGGCAGAGUGUCAGAAGUUCAGAAGCUGAAGGAGCAAGCAGUAGCUGAUAACAAACAAUCCAAAAUCAGAAGCCAUUGAUCUAAGCAAAGUCCACAGGUUCAGCCUUUCUAGUACAAGCCUAAGGUGUGUGCAUGACUUGCAUGACCCCAGUCACCCAUCCUUCAUAUCUCUUCCUGAAGACUACAGACCAAAAAAGAAAAGAGAACAGGAAAAAAGAUUAUUAAGUCAACCCACCAGUUAAACAACGUGGCAAAACAAGGAGUGAAGGCAUUUGAGUUCUGAGAGAAAUGUUCUGUAGAUGGCAGCAUCACAAAAGAACAACAUCUCCUCAGCUGUAUUAGAUGUGGACAAAGUUUAACAUGCACACAUCUUGCAAGUUAUGCCAGUAAAGACGGUAAUUAUGA